rnacentral:rRNA from 1 species
CCCUUAGAUGUUCUGGGCCGCACGCGCGCUACACUGAUGCAUUCAACGAGUCUAAAACCUGCUCUGAUAGGGGUGGGUAAUCUUUUGAAUGUGCAUCGUGAUUGGGAUAGAUGAUUGCAAUUUUUCAUCUUCAACGAGGAAUGCCUAGUAAACGCAAGUCAUCAGCUUGCAUUGAUUACGUCCCUGCCCUUUGUACACACCGCCCGUCGCUCCUACCGAUUGAAUGAUCCGAUGAAUAUCAUGGAUUGAGGAUGCAAGUAGGUUCGCCUAUCUUCAUCUUCGAGAAGUGAAGUAAAUCUUAUCAUUUAGGGGAAGGAGAAGUCGUAACA